GAUGAACGCUGGCGGCGUGCCUAAUACAUGCAAGUCGAGCGAACGGACGAGAAGCUUGCUUCUCUGAUGUUAGCGGCGGACGGGUGAGUAACACGUGGAUAACCUACCUAUAAGACUGGGAUAACUUCGGGAAACCGGAGCUAAUACCGGAUGAUAUUUUGAACCGCAUGGUUCAAAAGUGAAAGACGGUCUUGCUGUCACUUAUAGAUGGAUCCGCGCUGCAUUAGCUAGUUGGUAAGGUAACGGCUUACCAAGGCAACGGUGCAUAGCCGACCUGAGAGAGGGAUCGGCCACACUGGAACUGAGACACGGUCCAGACUCCUACGGGGGGCAGCAGUAGGGAAUCUUCCGCAGUGGGCGAAAGCCUGACGGAGCAACGCCGCGUAAGUGAUGGAGGUCUUCGGAUCGUAAAGCUCUGUUAUUAGGGGAGAACAUAUGUGUAAGUAACUGUGCACAUCUUGACGGUACCUAGUCAGAAAGCCACGGCUAACUACGUG
rnacentral:rRNA from 1 species